rnacentral:rRNA from 1 species
UGUUUCGGCAAGGGGGUCAUCCCGACUUACCAACCCGAUGCAAACUGCGAAUACCGGAGAAUGUUAUCACGGGAGACACACGGCGGGUGCUAACGUCCGUCGUGAAGAGGGAAACAACCCAGACCGCCAGCUAAGGUCCCAAAGUCAUGGUUAAGUGGGAAACGAUGUGGGAAGGCCCAGACAGCCAGGAUGUUGGCUUAGAAGCAGCCAUCAUUUAAAGAAAGCGUAAUAGCUCACUGGUCGAGUCGGCCUGCGCGGAAGAUGUAACGGGGCUAAACCAUGCACCGAAGCUGCGGCAGCGACGCUUAUGCGUUGUUGGGUAGGGGAGCGUUCUGUAAGCCUGUGAAGGUGUGCUGUGAGGCAUGCUGGAGGUAUCAGAAGUGCGAAUGCUGACAUAAGUAACGAUAAAGCGGGUGAAAAGCCCGCUCGCCGGAAGACCAAGGGUUCCUGUCCAACGUUAAUCGGGGCAGGGUGAGUCGACCCCUAAGGCGAGGCCGAAAGGCGUAGUCGAUGGGAAACAGGUUAAUAUUCCUGUACUUGGUGUUACUGCGAAGGGGGGACGGAGAAGGCUAUGUUGGCCGGGCGACGGUUGUCCCGGUUUAAGCGUGUAGGCUGGUUUUCCAGGCAAAUCCGGAAAAUCAAGGCUGAGGCGUGAUGACGAGGCACUACGGUGCUGAAGCAACAAAUGCCCUGCUUCCAGGAAAAGCCUCUAAGCAUCAGGUAACAUCAAAUCGUACCCCAAACCGACACAGGUGGUCAGGUAGAGAAUACCAAGGCGCUUGAGAGAACUCGGGUGAAGGAACUAGGCAAAAUGGUGCCGUAACUUCGGGAGAAGGCACGCUGAUAUGUAGGUGAAGUCCCUCGCGGAUGGAGCUGAAAUCAGUCGAAGAUACCAGCUGGCUGCAACUGUUUAUUAAAAACACAGCACUGUGCAAACACGAAAGUGGACGUAUACGGUGUGACGCCUGCCCGGUGCCGGAAGGUUAAUUGAUGGGGUCAGCGCAAGCGAAGCUCUUGAUCGAAGCCCCGGUAAACGGCGGCCGUAACUAUAACGGUCCUAAGGUAGCGAAAUUCCUUGUCGGGUAAGUUCCGACCUGCACGAAUGGCGUAAUGAUGGCCAGGCUGUCUCCACCCGAGACUCAGUGAAAUUGAACUCGCUGUGAAGAUGCAGUGUACCCGCGGCAAGACGGAAAGACCCCGUGAACCUUUACUAUAGCUUGACACUGAACAUUGAGCCUUGAUGUGUAGGAUAGGUGGGAGGCUUAGAAGUGUGGACGCCAGUCUGCAUGGAGCCGACCUUGAAAUACCACCCUUUAAUGUUUGAUGUUCUAACGUUGACCCGUAAUCCGGGUUGCGGACAGUGUCUGGUGGGUAGUUUGACUGGGGCGGUCUCCUCCUAAAGAGUAACGGAGGAGCACGAAGGUUGGCUAAUCCUGGUCGGACAUCAGGAGGUUAGUGCAAUGGCAUAAGCCAGCUUGACUGCGAGCGUGACGGCGCGAGCAGGUGCGAAAGCAGGUCAUAGUGAUCCGGUGGUUCUGAAUGGAAGGGCCAUCGCUCAACGGAUAAAAGGUACUCCGGGGAUAACAGGCUGAUACCGCCCAAGAGUUCAUAUCGACGGCGGUGUUUGGCACCUCGAUGUCGGCUCAUCACAUCCUGGGGCUGAAGUAGGUCCCAAGGGUAUGGCUGUUCGCCAUUUAAAGUGGUACGCGAGCUGGGUUUAGAACGUCGUGAGACAGUUCGGUCCCUAUCUGCCGUGGGCGCUGGAGAACUGAGGGGGGCUGCUCCUAGUACGAGAGGACCGGAGUGGACGCAUCACUGGUGUUCGGGUUGUCAUGCCAAUGGCACUGCCCGGUAGCUAAAUGCGGAAGAGAUAAGUGCUGAAAGCAUCUAAGCACGAAACUUGCCCCGAGAUGAGUUCUCCCUGACUCCUUGAGAGUCCUGAAGGAACGUUGAAGACGACGACGUUGAUA